CAUUCCGUGUCUCAACUUUGAUCCAGCCGACGGCCAACGUCUGUAAAUCUCACCGGCCUGCGCCUCUUCAUCCAUGAUUUGUUGCCCCGAACCGAAACGUGGUUUCUCCACAAGCUUUCCUCCCUGUGGCUCUUCUUUAGCCGAACGCAAAUACAAUUCCUCUUUACUCCAACUGAUAGGAUCGGUUUCUCGGUAAACGUCUUCAGACUUUGUUUCACUUUUUCCCCUGACGGACGUCACAUGUUCCUUAUCGUGGGACACGCAUCAUCCGCUACGCUCGGUGUCAUCGGUCCGUCGAAUGAAUCCGCGUGUAAUAUCAAAGUCUCUAGAACACGUGUUCCACUUAAUAGAACGCCGUUAAGCCAGAGCUCGAUCAUGGCAUUAAACGCUGAUGCGUCUAUCGAGAUAAAGAUUUGUAUUUCUCAGAACAUCGAUGCUUCCUAGAUGUAAAAAUCAACUGGAUCAUUCUGCAGACAGUGAAUAUAUCAUGUAAAACAGUUGAUAAAUGUUUUUGUGGUCGUAAAGUAUUUUACUCUUAAUAAUGUGACGAUU